GAUGGAAAACAAUUCCGGUCAAAAAGCAGUAAUUGUGGUAUUAAAGAAGCUUGAAUAAGAGGUGACCAAAAGGGGAUCAUUCGAUAUUGUCAGCAAAAGGUAUUUGAUUGACUGGCGAGGCACCAAAAAGAUAGAUGGGGAACAUCCAUGAUAAAGAGGGACGGGAAUAAAAGCGUUUAUCUUUGAUAGGUAUGAGCUCAGAUGGUUCUUGCUCAAUCUAGAUCCUAGCUGUCUUUUGUAUCUAAUUUGACCAUGAAAUCGCAUGGUUCUUGCUCAAAUUCCUCGAGAUGGAUCCUUUCAGUUUAAUUCAAUGAAACUUGAAAAAGGGGACUAUGUUCUGAAAUGUUUAUCAUUUAAAAGGAACACGACCAGAAAAAGAAAUGAAAAGUGAAAAAAUGAGAGAA